UGCCGCCAAUUUUCACGUUCCUCGCAGUUCUUGGUGAGCAAUUAAAGUGAGAUAUUAAUGUGGGUGUUCGUGGUUUAAUUUACAUGUGAAUAGGGCCACGUACUCUUUUAAUACCAGUCUAACUCGAAGAAGACGGAUUGCGGUUUGAAUGAGUUUACUAGAGCGAAAAACAGCUGAUCGGCUUCAUUGGCAUUCAAGGCAGAUUGAGCUGAAGGAAGACAGAGCUAUAUCACCGGAGCCCACUAGCUAGGGGCAUAAUACACGAGACUUCAAUAACCUGACAGAAUGCAGUUUUCUCUAAUUGUCCUCAUUUUGAUACAACUGGCCUUACACGUCACGGCAUAUCCAAUUCCGAGUGAAACAGAAGAGGUCAAGGUCGAUAAGCGGUCCAUGGAUCAAUCGCCAUCACUCGCAUCAAACAAUGAUGAAUUCUCCACCAUGUUGUCCAAAUUCCUAUCACGUGAUGCUGGUAACGUGAGAAGAACGAGGCGGACGGCUCCGCACCUGCAGGCUGCAUGGACUCUGCAUAUCGUGUGUAAAGUGAACCCGAAUCAUUCUCGCUGUUCCCAACACGUUGUGCCUGACACCGAUCAGGAUUUAGACAUCAUCGCUCGUUACAACCGCCGGAAGUAUCGCCAUCGGAGACGCCAUUCUCAUCGCCAUUGAGUCGUGACGUCAACUAAUCAUAUAUACGUUUGUACAAAGAAUAUGAUUAAUUCAUGCAGUUAAUUUUGUUCUGGCGAUAUUGUUAGCGGUAACAAAAAGGCGAAGUUUAGAUUAUUGAGUCAAUUAGUUUCUCUCAAACACCGUAUGUAUGUUGCAUAUAUACAAUCUGGUUUGACAAUUUUGACAACUGCCGCAAACGUAAACGCAAACAUGUCGUUGAUUUUGUCUAUUUCAUUAGUUUUUUUCAUUCAUUUCGCCAUUAACAACAAGUUCAUUAACAUAAAUUUCAUUAAAGCUUUACACUUCCAUUUACAUAGCGUCAUGUCGAUUUGUAUAUUUAUAUAUGAAACCGAGACAGUUCACGCUGUAUCUACAAACAAAAAUACAAAGUAUGAAGUACAUGCAUCAGUAGGAAGGGACAAAAGGGUGGAAGGCAUAAAUGCGUACGUACACAUUUAAAUCUUUUUUUUUUCCUUUUUUUUUUUUUUUUUGUCAUCUGAUCAUGUAUGAUGAUAUUUAUUGAUCGCUUUAUUGUAUGUCCUUGGACGUAAAGACAGUAACAAAUAUACGUCUCCCAUACGACCGAAGUGGUUGAUGUCAUAGUUAUUCAUUCAGUCAUUCUAAUAUUCAUGAAAGGACGCAGAAUACUCUGCUUAUUUGUACGUAACUUAACUUUAUAUUCUUAAAAAGGCAAUUUCAUUAAUGACCUUCCCUUACUUUUUAUCAUGCCAUGUUCAAAAUUGUAUUACAAUUUUACAUUCAUACCCAGUUAUUAAAUUGCUUUGUCAAGGCGCACAAUUUACCAUACAUGUUGACUAUAUGCAGCUCCAUGUAUAUUUGACUAACUGAGAUACUGAUAUUUUUCCUGCCUUGCCAGGCUUUAUUACAUAUUCUUACUGCAUGUAUUGAGAUCGAUGGAGUCGUUUUGUAUGAAUUAUAUGUAUUACAUCUAUAAUAUUGAAAUAAAAAAAUCUUAAUUACAA